rnacentral:rRNA from 1 species
GAUGAACGCUAGCGGCAGGCUUAAUACAUGCAAGUCGAGGGACAGCACAGGUAGCUAUACUGGGUGGUAACCGGCAAACGGGUGCGGAACACGUACACAACCUUCCGUUAAGUGGGGGAUAGCCCAGAGAAAUUUGGAUUAAUACCCCGUAAUAUAGUUGAAUGGCAUCAUUUGAUUAUUAUAGCUACGCCGCAUAAUGUUGGGUGUGCGGCUGAUUGGGGAGUGGGCGGGGUAACGGCCCACCAAGUCUACGAGCAGUAGCUGAUGUGAGAGCAUGCUCAGCAAAACGGGCACUGAGACACGGGCCCGACUCCUACGGGAGGCAGCAGUAAGGAAUAUUGGUCAAUGGACGCAAGUCUGAACCAUCCAUGCCGCGUGAAGGAUUAAGGUCCUCUGGAUUGUAAACUUCUUUUAUUUGGGACGAAAAAGGGCCUUUCUAGGUCAACUGACGGUACCAGAUGAAUAAGCACCGGCUAACUCCGUGCCAGCCGCCGCGGUAACAC